rnacentral:rRNA from 1 species
AUAGCGUAUAUUAAAGUUGUUGCAGUUAAAAAGCUCGUAGUUGAACCUUGGGUCUGGCUGGUUGGUCCGCCUCACCGCGUGUACUGAUCCGGCCGGACCUUUCCUUCUGGGGAAUCGCAUGCCCUUCACUGGGUGUGUCGAGGAUCCAGGACUUUUACUUUGAAAAAAUUAGAGUGUUCAAAGCAGGCCUAUGCUCGAAUACAUUAGCAUGGAAUAAUAGAAUAGGACGUGUGGUUUUAUUUUGUUGGUUUCUAGGACCGCCGUAAUGAUUAAUAGGGAUAGUCGGGGGCAUCAGUAUUCAAUUGUCAGAGGUGAAAUUCUUGGAUUUAUUGAAGACUAACUACUG